CAUUGUUUCAGCUUCGAUGUUGGAAUCAGCUGGUGUUGGGUUCAACUGUAUGGCCAUAUGUCUGCUGCGGUUAUUUCAACUCAUAGCAAUGGGUAUAAGUACGUGUAAGAUGUCAGUGUAUAGUCCACUUCUGCAAGUGGAAACAUGUGGAUCCCUUCUUUAUGGGUUAUAGAUAUUUUUUUUUUAAGAAAAUUACUAGAUACCUCAUGGAUUCCUUAAUAUAGAUUUUUGAGUGAACAUGGGUAAUUUGUAUGGCCUGUUAAUCACAUCAGUUAAUUUAUUGUUCUUGGUUAGCUCGAGCUAAAUCGAGCCGAGCCAGCUCGAAUUUAAUUCGAGCUCGAGACGACCCAACUUGGUUUGAGUUAAGCUCGGCUCGGCUCGCUAGCGGUUGAUUUUGGUAUGUUUAGCUUGCAUUUUUUUUUAUCUAUGUUUAUAAUUUUUAUUGAAUUAACAUUUUUGCAAUUCUUUUUGAUGAUUGUUUGCUGGUUAUUGCAAUUCUUUUUCAUGUGUUAGUUGAUGAUAAAGAUGUCACGUUGAUGGGUGUAGAGGCUGCCGGCUUUGGGAUAGAUGUGGGAAACAUGCAGCUAUCUUGACAAAAAGUGAAAUUGGUGUGUUAUGUGAUGCCAAGGUCUAUUUGUUACAAGAUGAUAAUGGACAAAUAAUUGAGCCUAAUUUUAUUAGUGCAGUGUAAACAUGAAUAAUCUUUCUACAUGCUACCUUGAUCCUUUAUUUUUUAUUUUUACUUUUGAUGGAAGUUGGUUAUAGUAAAGGUAUUAAUAUGUCA